rnacentral:rRNA from 1 species
CUCCAGACUCCUACGGGAGGCAGCAGUGGGGAAUAUUGCACAAUGGGGGAAACCCUGAUGCAGCGACGCCGCGUGAGUGAAGAAGUAUUUCGGUAUGUAAAGCUCUAUCAGCAGGAACGAGACAAGACGGUACCUGACUAAGAAGCCCCGGCUAACUACGUGCCAGCAGCCGCGGUAAUACGUAGGGGGCAAGCGUUAUCCGGAAUCACUGGGCGUAAAGGGAGCGUAGACGGCUGUGCAAGCCUGAAGUGAAAGGCGGGGGCCCAACCCCUGGACUGCUUUGGGAACUGUACGGCUGGAGUGCAGGAGAGGUAAGUGGAAUUCCUAGUGUAGCGGUGAAAUGCGUAGAUAUUAGGAGGAACACCAGUGGCGAAGGCGGCUUACUGGACUGUAACUGACGUUGAGGCUCGAAAGCGUGGGGAGCAAACAGGAUUAGAUACCCUAGUA